GAUGAACGCUGGCGGCGUGCCUAAUACAUGCAAGUCGAGCGAACGGACGAGAAGCUUGCUUCUCUGAUGUUAGCGGCGGACGGGUGAGUAACACGUGGAUAACCUACCUAUAAGACUGGGAUAACUUCGGGAAACCGGAGCUAAUACCGGAUAAUAUUUUGAACCUCAUGGUUCAAAAGUGAAAGACGGUCUUGCUGUCACUUAUAGAUGGAUCCGCGCUGCAUUAGCUAGUUGGUAAGGUAACGGCUUACCAAGGCAACGAUGCAUAGCCGACCUGAGAGGGUGAUCGGCCACACUGGAACUGAGACACGGUCCAGACUCCUACGGGAGGCAGCAGUAGGGAAUCUUCCGCAAUGGGCGAAAGCCUGACGGAGCAACGCCGCGUGAGUGAUGAAGGUCUUCGGAUCGUAAAACUCUGUUAUUAGGGAAGAACAUAUGUGUAAGUAACUGUGCACAUCUUGACGGUACCUAAUCAGAAAGCCACGGCUAACUAC
rnacentral:rRNA from 1 species